CCUGGCCCUGUGCCGGCCCCGCCUGGCCGGGCCCGGGCGGGGUCUGGGUCUGGCUAGGGAGGGUGAAGUCGGUGAACUCGAACUCGGAGCCCUGCGUGUCCGCGCCGAGCAGCUCGGCCUCCUCGGUGUCCAGGAAGGGUAAAGCCUGGCCUGAAACAACGCGUACCAGAUCUGCAGCUGGCGGGCUGAAAAGACGGAGAUUGGAAAACAUCCUUGUCCUGGGAAUCUUGUGCAGCAAAAGGAGGGGGAAAAAACAAGUCCAGAGAACAGAGGAGUCACCACUUGUGCAGUGAGACUGAAUUAAUCUUGUUUCUGAGCUUUGGAGUAGAAGAAACUGUUCAGACCAAAGCAGAACGGGGAGAAAGCGUGAAAUAACAUUUGAGGAUGAAAGUGGAACCGGAGGGAGGGGAAUAAAAAAUAAAAGUCCAAAGCCAGGUGGUUGCUUGCUGCGAACACUUUUAUUUAUUAAUAAACACAGCACACUCCAAAGGCUUGGCUGCUUGACAGAAUCCUCAAAAGCCUUGGAAAGGGAUCAAAGUUCUGCUGCUCUGCCGGGUUCCUCUCCCUGUGCCUGCCACAGCUCGGGGAAUUACGGUGCCUUUAAGGACCAGCGUGGAAAACUCCCUCCCUGCCCGCAGGAGGUGGGUUUGUCCCCUGAGGGUGGCCUUGGGGACACUUUGCUGCUGCUGUCUGAGGUGCUGAAGCCGCAGGUUCCCCCACCAGGGCCCUGGGCCCGGGCAGAAGGAACUGGAAAAGCGGCUGGAAAACCAAACUGGUUGUUACUGGUGCUGUGUCUGAACCGGAGGCUGAGAUUCUCUCUGUGCCGGCGCAGGGCAGGAGAAUUUGGAUUUCGUGGUGGUUUUGCUUCAUUGCGGUUCUGGGGGCCACUUGGAAGCUUUUAGGGAUGAAGUGGAUCCACACCCAGGCUGCAUUGCUCCCAGACUGUAUUUUUUUGGUGUUUUGUGCAGUUUUCCCCCUCAAAUCCGGGCUGCUGCUGUGACUCACUGGGCUUGACUGCUGGGCAGCCGGUAUGGAAUUAAAAAAGGCAAAAACUGGCAGAAUUCCCUGAAAAUGGUGCUGACUUCCCCGUUUCCCUGCAGAUCAGGAGCUGGAAUUCACAGGCCAGAGCCACGGGAAGAGAAGAAACGUUUAAUUGGGGAUAAAUAUUCCCAGAACAAGUCACAGGGAUGUAACUCCAUGAAGGAAAAGGAAAAGGAAAAGAAGAUUUUGGUCAAAAUGCAGGGAUUUUGAAUGAAGAAAGUUCCUAGAAAUUAAGGAUGGGUCACCAAGAGAGGAGGGAUUGACAUUCCAGAGGCUGCCAGAGCUGCUCCGAUGGAAGUGGGGCCUGGUGGGAUCCCUGGAUUCUGAGCAAGGCCUGUGGCAGCACAGCAAACCCAUGGAGGAGUCUGGAAACUCUGAACUGGGGCUGUUUUCACUAAAAAUGGCAUCACUAAAAAUGGCCUUGAUUUAUGAGCAAACAGAAGUUUGCUGAGAACGGCUUCGGGAGCCUGGUCCAGAAAUCCAUGAGCCUGAUGUCAUGUGGAGAGGGCCCAA